rnacentral:lncRNA from 1 species
AUUUCCCUCUUGUUUUUAGCAGGUCAUACAAGCAGCAAGUCCACAGGCCACCACACUGGAUAUUUUCCCUGUCUAUUCCCAAGCUUGCACAGAUAUCCAGGUGACAACUUGAGCCCCCAAGGGAAGUAUCAGGGAGGUAUCUGGGUGCCAGCUAGUCCUCCUCUCUCCCGAGCAGCAGCGUCCUCUUCAUUCAGAGCAUCACCCACUCACAGACCCAGCGGGAGGACCAAUGAAAACAUAUAGAAAUCUGCCUCUCAAGCUGAGAGCAGCUCAAUAAUGCAGUUUUAUGCCUCACUGUGUGGUCUUCAGAUUCUUCAGCUGCAAAGGUAAACUGGGCUUCUAUUGAACAUGAACAAACUGUACUUUUGAAGGGUCUGCAACUUGACUGAAUUUGGUCAGAUUUUCACUGGGUAGGAAAAACAAUUACUAACAGACAAGCUGUACUGUCAUUC